rnacentral:tRNA from 1 species
GCCUGGGUGGCUCAGUUGGUUGAGCAUCUGACUUUGGCUCAGGUCAUAAUCUCGUGGUUUGUGAGUUCAAGCCCUGCCUCGGGCU